AAGCAGCAAAAUCAACGAAGCCGAUCGAUAUCCUGCCGCAUCCUGCCGCUCAUAACGGUCUGGUUGCAGGUUCGAGUCCUGCCGGGCCCACCA
rnacentral:tRNA from 2 species